rnacentral:rRNA from 1 species
UUGACAUGUCCGGAACUUGCCAGAGGUGGCUUGGUGCCCGAAAGGGAAUCGGAACACAGGUGCUGCAUGGCUGUCGUCAGCUCGUGUCGUGAGAUGUUUGGGAUAAGUCCCGCAACGAGCGCAACCCUUAUCAUUAGUUGCUACGCAAGGGCACUCUAAUGAGACUGCCGGUGACAAACCGGAGGAAGGUGGGGAUGACGUCAAGUCCUCAUGGCCCUUAUGGGUAGGGCUUCACACGUCAUACAAUGGUCGGUACAGAGGGUUGCCAAGCCGCGAGGCGGAGCCAAUCCCACAAAGCCGAUCGUAGUCCGGAUUGUUCUCUGCAACUCGAGAGCAUGAAGUCGGAAUCGCUAGUAAUCGCAGGUCAGCAUACUGCGGUGAAUACGUUCCCGGGUCUU